rnacentral:rRNA from 1 species
AGCAAUCUGCGAUAAGUGGUGUGAUAUGCAAGUCCACAGCUUAUACGUGAACCAUCGAAUCUUUGAACGCACUGCACUAUCCGGACGACACCCCCGUGAUAGUAUGCCCCGUUGAGCGUCAUUUAUCCGUUCAGACGCUUGCGCGUUCGUUUCGCGCUUGCGGAUGAGUUCGAGGUUCACGUCCAUCCUUGGAUGCGUCCCUUGAGAUCGAUUAGCGCGCCUGGUCCGCCUCGCGCCCGUCUUGUGAUGAUUUUGCAAGCCGAGGCCGGAGCAUCUGACCUGCGCUGACAGCCGCCGUCAGGCAAACCCGGGCCUCACGGUCCCACUCUCGUAUAUGACCUCAGUGGGGUAGGACAACCCGCUAGACUUAAGCAUAUUAAUCAGCGGAGGAAAAGAAACU